rnacentral:rRNA from 1 species
GACGAACGCUGGCGGCGUGCCUAAUACAUGCAAGUAGAACGCACAGUUUAUACCGUAGCUUGCUACACCAUAGACUGUGAGUUGCGAACGGGUGAGUAACGCGUAGGUAACCUGCCUGGUAGCGGGGGAUAACUAUUGGAAACGAUAGCUAGUACCGCAUAAUAUUAAUUAUUGCAUGAUAAUUAAUUGAAAGGUGCAAUUGCACCACUACCAGAUGGACCUGCGUUGUAUUAGCUAGUAGGUGAGGUAACGGCUCACCUAGGCGACGAUACAUAGCCGACCUGAGAGGGUGAACGGCCAAACUGGGACUGAGACACGGCCCAGACUCCUACGGGAGGCAGCAGUAGGGAAUCUUCGGCAAUGGACGAAAGUCUGACCGAGCAACGCCGCGUGAGUGAAGAAGGUUUUCGGAUCGUAAAGCUCUGUUGUAAGAGAAGAACGGGUGUGAGAGUGGAAAGUUCACACUGUGACGGUAUCUUACCAGAAAGGGACGGCUAACUACGUG